CCUGCAAAAAUAGUAUCGAUCCUAUUUUUGCCGGACGCCGGAGCACCUCCGCAGUCAAUGGACAGGAAUCACAACCGCCCAACAGGAAAGGGAGCAAGCACAACUUCCGUUAUUUCACAAUAAAUCGAUAAACAAAAAGCGUUUUGUUUCAUAUGCACAGGUUUAACAACUUUUAACAACUAUCAAUGGCGGCUGAACUUUAAAUGCACAAAAGUAUGUUGUGUGACGGGGUGAGUACUCCCUCUUCUCCACAACAUCUUUGUAAGACUGUCAUUCCAGGAGAGGGCACUCACCAGCUGUGGGGCAUUACCGAUCAGCGGCAGCUGCAGAUCCUCUAAUCAACCGCAGCAGAGCUCUAUUUAAGAGGAGAGGGAACCACUUCACAUCGCUGGAUGAUUAACUACUCACGGAUACUUGGAAUCGCUGAACCACAGAUGGAUGUACCUACCUGGAAGUCACCAUAACCCGCCUGGAUUACACACUCAAGGUUCACCUCUCCUCCAGCUUCACUUGCCCUCUGCCGCCAUCAUCUGGCUCCCUCUCCUGGACGAACCCCGUCACACCGUUUGCCCUCCCUGCUGGCUUUUGGACUCUUGCCGACUACUUCACACUUGGAUAUCUCCAGGACACUUUUAGUUAGGGUUAAUAAAUCAUUGUUUGAACUUUC